rnacentral:tRNA from 1 species
ACUUAUAAAGGUUAUAAUCCUUUCUUUUUA